AUUCCUUUAGUAUAUUAGUACAGAUGCCUUCCAAGCAUAAAGACCCCCACGGGAAGAAAUA
rnacentral:tRNA from 1 species